rnacentral:rRNA from 1 species
UGGGGAAUCUUGCGCAAUGGGCGAAAGCCUGACGCAGCGACGCCGCGUGAGGGAAGAAGGCCUUCGGGUUGUAAACCUCUUUCAGGAGGGACGAAGCCACUCGGGUGAAUAGCCCAGAGGGUGACGGUACCUCCAGAAGAAGCCCCGGCUAACUACGUGCCAGCAGCCGCGGUAAUACGUAGGGGGCAAGCGUUGUCCGGAUUUAUUGGGCGUAAAGAGCGUGUAGGCGGCUUCACAGGUCCGCUGUAAAAACUCGAGGCUCAACCUCGAGCUGUCGGUGGAAACCGUGUGGCUAGAGUCCGGAAGAGGAGAGUGGAAUUCCCGGUGUAGCGGUGAAAUGCGCAGAUAUCGGGAAGAACACCCGUGGCGAAGGCGGCUCUCUGGGACGGUACUGACGCUGAGACGCGAAAGCGUGGGGAGCGAACAGGAUUAGAUACCCUGGUAGUCCACGCCGUAAACGAUGGGUGCUAGGUGUGGGGGGUGUCGACUCCCUCCGUGCCGAAGCUAACGCAUUAAGCC